AGCAGCCGCGGUAAUUCCAGCUCCAAUAGCGUAUAUUAAAGUUGUUGCAGUUAAAAAGCUCGUAGUUGAACUUCGGGGUCUACCCAUUGGUCAGGCUUAAUUGUCUGCACUGGUGAGAUGGAUCUCUACCUUCUGAGGAACUUUCAUGCCAUUUAUUUGGUGUGGUUGGAAAUCAGGACUGUUACUUUGAAAAAAUUAGAGUGUUUAAAGCAGACUAUCGUCUGAAUACAUUAGCAUGGAAUAAUGAAAUAGGACGGACUGAUUCUAUUUCGUUGGUUUCUAGGAUCACCGUAAUGAUUAAUAGGGAUAGUUGGGGGCGUUAGUAUUCAAUUGUCAGAGGUGAAAUUCUUGGAUUUAUUGAAGACUAACUACUGCGAAAGCAUUUGCCAAGGAUGUUUUCAUUAAUCAAGAACGAAAGUUAGGGGAUCGAAGACGAUCAGAUACCGUCGUAGUCUUAACCAUAAACUAUGCCGACUAGGGGAUCGGACGAAGUUAAUUUUAUAAUGACGCG
rnacentral:rRNA from 1 species